UCUCCGUAGGUGAACCUGCGGAGGGAUCAUUACCGAGUGAGGGCGCCCCGGCGCCCGACCUCCCAACCCUUUGUCGAACUUACCUUGUUGCCUCGGGGCGCGCCCUUCGCGGGCGGUCCCAGAGGACCAACCAUCAAAACCCUGCGUCCCUGCGUCGGAGUCAUAAGUCAAUUGAACAAAACUUUCAACAACGGAUCUCUUGGUUCUGGCAUCGAUGAAGAACGCAGC
rnacentral:misc_RNA from 1 species